rnacentral:rRNA from 1 species
ACAGCAGUAGCCGCGGUAAUACGGAGGGAGCUAGCGUUGUUCGGAAUUACUGGGCGUAAAGCGCGCGUAGGCGGUUACUCAAGUCAGAGGUGAAAGCCCGGGGCUCAACCCCGGAACUGCCUUUGAAACUAGGUGACUAGAAUCUUGGAGAGGUCAGUGGAAUUCCGAGUGUAGAGGUGAAAUUCGUAGAUAUUCGGAAGAACACCAGUGGCGAAGGCGACUGACUGGACAAGUAUUGACGCUGAGGUGCGAAAGCGUGGGGAGCAAACAGGAUUAGAUACCCCGGUAGUCCCUGUCUCUUAUAC